CUCUCUCCAAGACACCAUUCUUCAAUUUCUAUGAAAAACCUCGGCAAAUUCAACAGGAAUUUGUGAAAUAUUUUGGUCACCCUGAAUAUGCAUUUUUAGAGGAUAAACAUAUUGUCUGCAAGGGAACUAUGAAUUCAAGUGUCUUGGAUGACCAUAGUACCACAGAAGGAAAUGAUGAAGCCUUCCUGAUAUGAGCAACUCUCCGAAAUAGACCUGGCAACUGCUAUUACUUAUGCAUCUGAAAAAUCCCGGAUUUUUUUAAGACCCUAAAGUAACUUUUAGAAACAAACAGCAGAAGCUUGGGAUCUUGUUUGACGCCAGUUUUUAUGUUGAUAUGAUGCACUUUGGCAUCUCAGCAAAAGGGAGAAACCAUGCUACAUCAUGGGAGAUGUAGUCCAGUUUCAGAGUCCAAUUCAUAAAGAAGAAGGGGAUCAUAAGUCAUCUGAACUACAGUUCCCAAGAAACACCACAAUGAUUGAGAAAUGUUGAAACAUUCCCACAUUUCUGAUUAAACUCAGCAUUCUGUGAAAAGUUUUGAUUUUUUGACUUUUAUUCUGAUUUGUCACAAAAAAAAUGUUGAAACGUGGGAAUUUCACAUGGCAUGAAAUUUUAUCUUUUGAUCUGCAGAAGAGAAGACUGUGGGAUAGAGGUGAGAAGAAUUAUUUCCCCAUAACAAUGCUUCCCCUCAGGAAACACAAUUCCACAGGAAGCACAGGCAUUGUUCUAGAAUAGGGUUUCCUAACCUAUGGGUCGGGACCCAAAUAUGGGUUACCAUUACAUUUCAAAAGGGUCGC